GACGAACUGUGCAAACGUUGUUCGGAAUCACUGGGCUUAAAGGGCGCGUAGGCGGGCUGUCAAGUCAGGGGUGAAAUCUUUCGGCUCAACCGGAAAACUGCCUUUGAUACUGACAGCCUCGAGGGAGGUGGGGGCAUGUGGAACUUCCGGUGGAGCGGUGAAAUGCGUUGAUAUCGGAAGUAACGCCGGUGGCGAAAGCGACGUGCUGGAUCUCUUCUGACGCUGGGGCGCGAAAGCUAGGGGAG
rnacentral:rRNA from 1 species